UGGGGAAUAUUGCACAAUGGGCGCAAGCCUGAUGCAGCCAUGCCGCGUGUAUGAAGAAGGCCUUCGGGUUGUAAAGUACUUUCAGCGGGGAGGAAGGCGAUAAGGUUAAUAACCUUGUCGAUUGACGUUACCCGCAGAAGAAGCACCGGCUAACUCCGUGCCAGCAGCCGCGGUAAUACGGAGGGUGCAAGCGUUAAUCGGAAUUACUGGGCGUAAAGCGCACGCAGGCGGUCUGUCAAGUCGGAUGUGAAAUCCCCGGGCUCAACCUGGGAACUGCAUUCGAAACUGGCAGGCUAGAGUCUUGUAGAGGGGGGUAGAAUUCCAGGUGUAGCGGUGAAAUGCGUAGAGAUCUGGAGGAAUACCGGUGGGGAAGGCGGCCCCCUGGACAAAGACUGACGCUCAGGUGCGAAAGCGUGGGGAGCAAACA
rnacentral:rRNA from 1 species